AUUGAACGCUGGCGGCAGGCCUAACACAUGCAAGUCGAGCGGAUGAAGGGAGCUUGCUCCUGGAUUCAGCGGCAGACGGGUGAGUAAUGCCUAGGAAUCUGCCUGGUAGUGGGGGAUAACGUCCGGAAACGGGCGCUAAUACCGCAUACGUCCUGAGGGAGAAAGUGGGGGAUCUUCGGACCUCACGCUAUCAGAUGAGCCUAGGUCGGAUUAGCUAGUUGGUGGGGUAAAGGCCUACCAAGGCGACGAUCCGUAACUGGUCUGAGAGGAUGAUCAGUCACACUGGAACUGAGACACGGUCCAGACUCCUACGGGAGGCAGCAGUGGGGAAUAUUGGACAAUGGGCGAAAGCCUGAUCCAGCCAUGCCGCGUGUGUGAAGAAGGUCUUCGGAUUGUAAAGCACUUUAAGUUGGGAGGAAGGGCAGUAAGUUAAUACCUUGCUGUUUUGACGUUACCAACAGAAUAAGCACCGGCUAGCUUCGUG
rnacentral:rRNA from 1 species